GUCCCCAUAGUUCAACAGGAUAGAACAAAUCCCUCCUAAGGAUUAGAUGCAGAUUCGAAUUCUGCUGGGGACGCCA
rnacentral:tRNA from 1 species